rnacentral:lncRNA from 1 species
UACGCACACUCUAAUCAAUUUGCAAAACUUCACUUAGAUGAAUCAAAUCGUCCAUUGGACUCCAUCACCCAACCCCAUAACAUAGGAAGCACAGUCGCCCAAAUACUAGCCCAUGCAUAAUAUAGCCACCACAAACAAAUCCCAAUAGUAAUAACCUCUCAAACUCUAACACCUUUGGGCACCAUGCAUUCCUCACUGUUGAAACACGUUCUCAAGUCGCUAAAACUAAACGUGUGUUCAUUUCUGUAGAUUUUGAUAAAUGACAGACCGACGCGCAUGGAACAUCGACAUAUGCCAAAGUCCAAGAACAUGA